rnacentral:misc_RNA from 1 species
AUGUUAUUUUAUUGUCUGAUUGUUAUUGUCUGAAGAUACCGAGUAGCUAUGGUUAAAAAUAUCAGCAGGCGACGUAUAUAAAUGCUCAAGUUGCGGUCGCGACCGUGCUGUCCCUGUAAUUUUCAUUACAAUGCCGCACGACCUAUGAAAAUUUCGAAAUAAAAAUAACUCAUAAUAGCUAGGUUUACUCAAUUUUUUGAUGAGAAUUAAAAAAAUUGUGAAAAACACUAAUUGUAUCAUAGAAUGAUCGCCCCUAUGUUUGAUCUUUCCUGUAAUGAUGAAUCAAGCCGAUGUCAAACGAGAUGUACCUAACCGAAAUAUAUAUAAAAAUAGUGUAUAUUAAUAAAACCAUACGAUAAUUAUUUAUUUAUUUAAAUUCAUCUUCAAUUUUUUUCGGAAUGAUUGAUUUUAUCUUUAUUACCAUUUUACUCUGUUCAGUAAAAAUCAGUACUUUCGACCA